UCUGGUACUUGCACUCUGCGCCCAUCCACCCAAAUCUAUGCAUCCUGCAACUCUGAUAAAAAAAAGAGGGGGUGAGCUUUACAGCCCAGUAAGAAUCCCUACACAUCCAUACCAACACAAUAAUAAUAUUAAUUUAGAAACCACGACAAAUCGAUGCACAUUUCCUGAAAUCAUAAAUCGGCUAUCAAAAGGCUCAAAUAAUCAAUAUAAGUAUGUACAUCAAAUAUCAAUGAAAGUCCAACACGCAAGAAUGAUAUAGCAUACGAUAACUCAUAAAUCUUCAUUAAUAUUUUCAAUGCUUUUUCUUUCCAUUCUAUAUUAACUUGAUCCGGAUCAAUUAUCUUUCCGACUUUGGGCUACAUCCCGGUCACGUUUCCGGCCCGUGACGGGGCAAUCGAUAGUAUCACAUUUUUGGCCUGUGAUGGGGCAAUCGAUGGUAUCACAUUUUCAGCCUGUGAUGGGGCAAUCGAUAAUAUCACAUUUCCAGCCUGUGAUGAGGCAAUCAAUACUAACGAGAUAAGCCCAAGGUCCCUACUCAUUUAACCAAUUCACAUACACACAUCAAUUCCUUUUUCCAUCUUAUAUCCGGCCUAGACUAACCAUGGUCACAUUUCCGGCCUGUGACAGGGCAAUUAAUAUAACAUGGUUAGUCCAUACCACCAUAUUCAUAAAUUCAAUUAUGCAGGUAUAAGUUAUACACCUACAUGUAUCCAUCAUACUACCAAUCACAAGCCAACACGAUCAAAAUAUAAUUUUAUAUAAAACUAUUUCUGCUUUGUCUGGAUCAUAGCAUAUCAAACAUAUAUAAUGUAAAAAUAUUUAUAUCAUGUAGGAUUGGCGUACAAGAAUUCUUACAGAAAUUGUAGACUGACUCAAAUACAGAUCUGGAUCACAACCUACGAGCUGGGGUGCUGAGUCCCCUGAUCAAAACCUCCUGGCACCGCUAACUCUUCCCCUACAACAUCAAUUAUAAAUCACAAACUAAAUUAUUUAAUAUUUAAAUAUUCUAAACCAUAAUUCACAUCUACUAUGGGGUCCAUCACCAGGUCCCCAAACAUCUCAAUCCCUCCAGAUCUAGGACAGUCGGGGUGGCCUGACUCCCACCUUGUACCAUCGGCCUAUGUCGUCGCCAGCCGUGGCCGCAGCCAUGCCGGCGACGAUGGCCGGUCCCGAUGAA
rnacentral:lncRNA from 1 species